ensembl:lncRNA
GAGGAGGAGGAGGAGGAGGAGGUGGUGGGGGGACAUUUCUGCUUCUACCAUGAAAGUCAAAGGCUCCCCAGCUGAUGACUUUAGCAGCCGGUGCCCCUGCAGACGCCGUCGGAAAGAGUGAGGAGCGCCGGCGGGGAAAGGGAAACGCCGACCUGCUCCUCGAGUCUCCUCCAGCGACGGCUUUCACAGAUCAGGAUUCUCUCCCUGAGGCGCAGGAGCGAGAGAGGGAGCCUCGGCCUCCCGCCUCUUAAGUGGUCUGCGGUCUGGAAGCGUUUUCCUGACGAGAGGAGCUGGAGAGGCUCCACUCUGCCAUCACCACCGCCGCGUCAGCUCGGAAGUCCUUGGCACCAAACCGAUGAAUUAAUUCCGUUAGCGAGACAAAGGAAGAGCUCCCUUAUAACAUUAAAAGCCACUCAGUGGUCUGGAACCAUCAUCUUCUCUGUGUUCGAUCACCUUCUAUUUCCAGCACUUAUUGAUUCCGUGUGGAAGUCUGUCGAUGGGCCGCGUCCCCGUAGGAAGGUGGACGCGUCCGUGUGUCGGGGGGGCGUUUGCAGGCGGAGCGGCCCGGAUGGCUCCCUGCAUGUACGUGAGAUGAGGAUGUGCUUGUUGAAGUGGUAAACAGACUGUUGGCCCCGUGCCAACCGUCCUGCAGCUGGAAGAGAAGAAGAAGGAGAAGAAGAAGAAGAAGAAGACGACGUCCCAGUAAACAGGAAGCAGUUCAUUACUGGUGAUACCCUGACAAUGAGGUUAUGUGCCGAUAAUUGGGAUUAAAUUGGGAGAUUAAAAUGCUUCCGCGGAGGCGUUUUCCC